GCAGAGCUUUUGCUUUACCUAAUAAACUGUCUUUACCUCAACCCAUGAGUUCUCACACUUGUACCUUUCCAGUUCUGUCCCCCAUCCCACUUGGGGAGAGUGAGUCAGUGGCUGUGUGGCACUGAACUGCCUGUUGGGUUAAACAUCACAAUGAAUUGAUUUAU